UUUUAUGGACGAAGUGGUGAUAGAUAAAGAGCGUAUCAUCGGAAUUCCAGUUGAAUUCUUGCUGAAAAAAAAAAACACAAUUAGUAGAAAAUUUAUAUUAAAGAUUAAAAAUGUAAGUAAAAAAUUAGAAUACUUACCGCAAACUGACGAAACCACAGAUGCUGCUUGUGGGUAGGGAAGUCAGUGAAAGUCGGAUCUCCCUUGUCGAGGGCCGAGUACAUCAUACGAGUAAGAGGGAGGAUGAAGAUAUGGAGUGAAUGAAGAGGAAGAGGGGUACUUGUACUUAUAGUUGAAAUCCUGCCGACACACCGAGAAAAUUCCGACGGAAUUCCGACGCCAACGGCUAGUUCGUCGGAAUUUCCUCCGAAUUUUUAAAAUCCCCCAACGGCUCUCCAAUGGCUCUCUAACGGCUAUAAUAUAUCCUCAGAAUUCAUCGGGUUUUUCCGAGGAAUACAUUUUUCCUCGGUAUUCCAUAAGAAUAUUCCGACGGAUUGAUAUUUCCUCGGAAUUCCGAGGAAACCAAAUUUUGUAUUUCCUCGGAAUUUCCUCGGAAAUUCCUCGAGAUAUUCCGAGAAUUUCAUUUUCCGUCGGAAUGUCCGUCAGAAUACCGAUGUUUUCUUGUAGUGGAUGAUCUUGACGCUAUUGGGUGAUGUUCCUCUUAGUACGUGUUUGAGGCCUUGGAAAGAAAAUUCCAUACGUAGAUUAAGGAAAUCCCAGAGAAUUGGUCCCAAUGUUGAUAGCCAUUGGACGCCUAGCACCAGAUCGCUACAUCCUAGCGGUAACGUCCUAAUCUCAGUGCUGAAUCCAUAUCCCUGCAUCUUCCACGUAAAAGGAUUGCAUUUAUACUUGGUGAUCAAGUCACCGCUUGCUGCUACAACUGACAUCGGUUUUGUUGGGGUCAAUGAGCAUCCUAAGCCUUUAGCAUUAAUAUAUCAAGGAAAUUGUGAGUAAUGCCUGGGUCGAUUAAGAUAUGGAGUUUCCUCUUUCCGUAUUGACCCAUUAAACGCAUGCAGUUGAAUGUCGGACACCCGUUUAAAGCAUGGACAGAGAUAGUAGGAACUUUGUCAUCUUCAUCGUGGAGAGUUGUUUCUCGUAUCUGCUCCUCUAAGGCAAUUUCUUCAUGAAACUCUGUAUCAGCUUCUAAGAAUAAGACCUCAGCGCGCCGAUGUUUAAGUUGAUGACCCGGUGUGAAUGGUUCCUCACAAAACAUGAAUAAACCCUUUCGUUUUUGCUCCUGCAUCUCUUCGAAAGAGAGCGGCUUUUGAGGAGUGUUGGCGAUGAUGGGUUUAUUAUUUUGACUGCCGCCAUUGGUAGUCGUUAUUGCGGUUGAGUUGCUGUGUUGACUUUUUUUGGAUUGUGAGAAAUUUGAUCUUUGGAAUGAGUUGAAGGUAGUACGAGGUGGCUUUGUAGGCGUGUGUGACAAGGAUAGCUCAUGUAGUUUAGCUAUUUUUGCUGCUUCUGGUACUGAACUGACUAUGAAUUGGCGCACAUUAAAAGCUAGGUGUUGGUGUAUGUUUGUCAGAAAUAUGCUUAGUGCGUGAGCCGGAGCUAGCGUGAUCCUAGUCAUAGCACUAUCAAACUUCUCCAAAUACUCAUCGAUGGUUUGUUGCUUUGUUUCAAGCUGACUAAUUCUGAUAAGGGAUCAUCACAAAGUUCGCUGAAACGAUCAGAUACUGCAGCAACAUAUUCCGGCCAUAAUGGGAAGAUGUUGUAGCGGUUUGAGAGAUACGAGUGAUGCCAUUGGAGUGCUUUGCCCGUCAUGUGAAGAGAAGCGAGACGAACCUUUAACUCUGGUGGUGUGCUGUCAAUUGAGAAGAACUGUUCGCAGCGAUAAAUCCAUUCCCGAAGUUCUGAACCGUCAAACAUAGGGAACCCUAUUUUUGUUAGGCGAGCUGAUAGUCCGUUGGGGGGAGGUGGAUUGUUAUUGUUUUCGCUGUUCACAUGGGUUGGUUUUGAUGUACUGUGUUCUGGGUUGUGGCGGUCAGGUGGAUCUGCUUGUGGGUACGUUCCUCCCGUUGUAAGUGCUGAUGCUGCUUCAAUUUUUUUCCCUUCACGUUGAUUAAGGGGUGGUGGUGUGUUAGCAAAUACUUCUCUAUUAUUUCUUUUAGUGCUGUGAUUUCGCCUCCUAGUUCUUUACGGAUUUUUUCCGUUUGUUGAGUUUGCGAUGAGCAUAGCUCGUCGAUUUGUUUGCUCAUGUCGCUCAAAGCGGUGGAUGACCUUGUAUCCAUAGCUUGGUCCUGAGGAGUUUAUUCUCUGAUACCAAUGAGACAGUAAACCUGUAACGUAAGUCCCAAGCUAGUAACCCUACUUGUGGAUUAGAAGAGAGGGGAUACACAGAUCUAGAAGAUGAUCACUGAGGUAGAAGGAUCAACUCGAAGAACCUGAGAUCGUGAUGAUAAUGAUGUUGCUUGCACAGAAAGUGAUUUGAGAGUUUAAGAGAUUGUAAAAGUAUUCUUAUUGAUAAAACAUGGAAAGGCUACGCCUUAUAUAAAACAAAGAAUUCCUUAUCUCAAAACACUUAUGAUAAUCAUCUUAACAGAUUUAUAAUUAUCCGAGAUAAAGAAUAUAAAUAAAACCAAAUCAUAAAACACUUAAGUCGGCUUAUCUAAAGUGUGACAUAAUCCUGUCACAUAAUCAACUACUCCCACUACGUACUCUUCAAUCCUUCCUUAAUUCGACUCACCUUUGACCUGCUUCGUUACAUAUAAAAAAUGAGGAUGAAGCGUAUGAGCGAUAAAGCGAAAUCCCUUUGCUUUUCGAAUUCUAGAAUUCGAGUCCAAAAAAAAUGAAUUCGAGUCCUUGUCGUUCAAAAAAAAAAAAAGAAUUCGAGUCCAUUAUCACAAAAACACCUCCACAUGGUGACUUCUCAAGUUCACUUAUCAGAGUUGAAGGUUGGCCGCUGCAGAGAAACUGUUCAGGUGAGACUAAUUCGAUUUGGGAGGCCCUCAAUGUGAAAAAGGCGGUGAGCUGAUGGUGAUCGACAUGCUGCUCAUCAAUGCGAAGGUUAGCCGGAACCUUAUUUCAAUUUUUAAUUUGCGAUUUAAAGUUUUCUAACUUUUCCUGUAAGUGGUUCAUUACGGUCUAUUGAUCUGAGUGCUUUUGAUGUUGCAAAAAAUUACGGUUUGGUGACGCUCCUGUCACGAUUAGAUUUCAGAGUUGUUCCCAUUACGUUCUCAGUAACUUACCGAAGCGUGUGCCCGAACCGGAAGUUAUAGCGUAAUCAUCUUCCUAAAGUAAAAAAAAAAAAACGUGUUCUUCAGGUCAAUGCUUUGGUAAUCUAAUUAUGAAUAUCCAAACUUUCUGUGAACUGGUUGAGGAUGAUAAUAGUAGUGCACAAUCCAUGGAGUUCCUUCUUGCUAGGCAGAGUAAAUGUAAGCUUUGACAAUGAGUGUUAUCAACUUUACUUAACGUUUCAUGUUAUUUUCUGAGUAUUCUUGGAUUUGAUUUUGUUUGCUUUAGGAAAGAUCAUUGUGCAAACAGAAAUAGGAGAAGAAAUGUUGUUUGCUUUAUAAGUUGGAACUUUAAAGUUGACUUUAAACUUAUUCUUUUUGCUAACUCUUUCAAACAACGAUGAUCUGUGUUUUCCUUUUGCAUUACAGUUGCUGCUUCUCAAGUUGUUUGGAUGGGUGGUGUGGUGAAUUCAACGAGGUCAAAUAGGUUCGCCAAUGGAUUAAAUAUGACUCAUGUUGCUGCUCUUUUUUAUUCUUCUACAGCUUUUGCGAUCGAGAACCAUGGGGAUGUCUAUAUAUGCUUAAGUGUGUUCGACGGCAUAGCCUACAAAUUUCAUAUAAAAUUUCAAGCCUUUGGCUCAAAACCUAAGGUUUUGUUUUGGUAUAAAUCCAGAAAAAUGUUAGAGGUCGGUUAUUCCUCAACGCCACUUCGAGCACUCAUUUAUUCUUCGACUCGGAAACUUCAGGUCAAAAGGUUGUUGACUGCUUAGUGGGUAAGGUUGAAGAUGAAGCCUGGAGCUUGAGGAUACAGAGGCCGAGCCGCUCGCUGCACCAUAAUUAUAGAAAUUGGAGCUGAGGGAUAUCAUUUCCUUGGGUUUUCUUGAUGAUUCUAGAGAUUUAACUUCUUUGAGCCGUGUAACUGCACCACCUUCUAAUAGGAAGUAUGUUGCUCUCUAGGAUGGAAUUUUCGCUGUUGCUGAUAAUCUCAAAGUAUUAACCGCGUUUAAACCUGAAAACUUUACGUCAUAUGCUUCUGAUGCCCUUCUUCUUCCGGGGCUGAGCAAAGCAGAUAAAUCUAAGCAUGACAAUCUAUCUUGUAGUGUAGUUUUUUUUUAACGCUGAAAAUAUUAUAUAACAUUGACGGAUUCGAAAUUGAGAUACAUGGAUGAUACACUGAGCCAGCAGAACACAGGUUCCCUGGAAACUAUGGCCGGCGAAAACAAGGUUUUCCGGGAAGUUAAAGCCCUAAACAAAGGGAAAUACAACAAACUUUACAAGGAUCAAAAGAAACCAAAGCAUGCACGAAGACAUUAACGCAUACAAAAAAGGUCAAACCCAAAACUUGCAUGCA